GGUAUUUGGGGUCAUUUUGGGGUUUUCAGAGCCCUUUUUGGGGCAUUUUGGUCCCUUUGGGAUUUUUCUGGGUCCCUUUGGGGGGUUUUGGGGGCCCUUUUGGGGGCAUUUUGGUCCCUUUGGGGUUUUUCUGGGUCCCUUUUUGAGGUUUUGGGGCCCUUUUGAAGUUUUUGGGGCCCUUUUGGGGCAAUUUGGGACAUUUUGGUCCCUUUGGGGUUUUUCUGGGCCCCUUUUGGGGGUUUUUGCGGCCCUUUUGGGGUUUUUGGGGCCCUUUUAGGGGCAAUUUGGG
rnacentral:lncRNA from 1 species